rnacentral:snoRNA from 1 species
UAAUGAAUGUAGCAUGGUACUGUACACGGAAACUGAAUCAUGGGUUUGAAAUGUCUGUGCCCUCUUUGAGAACCUAACUGGUUCUUUGAUUUGCGGGCCUGGUUUAAACCCACAUUU